rnacentral:rRNA from 1 species
GUGUCAGCCGCCGCGGUAAUACGUAGGGGGCGAGCGUUGUCCGGAAUUACUGGGCGUAAAGGGUGCGUAGGCGGCCUGAUAAGUCAGGUGUGAAAUACCAGGGCUCAACCCUGGGGGUGCACUUGAAACUGUCGGGCUUGAGUGCAGGAGAGGGAAGUGGAAUUCCUAGUGUAGCGGUGAAAUGCGUAGAGAUUAGGAGGAACACCAGUGGCGAAGGCGGCUUCCUGGCCUGUAACUGACGCUGAGGCACGAAAGCGUGGGUAGCGAACAGGAUUAGAUACCCUGGUAGUCCACGCCGUAAACGAUGGAUACUAGGUGUUGGAGGUAUCGACCCCUUCUGUGCCGGAGUUAACACAAUAAGUAUCCCGCCUGGGGAGUACGGCCGCAAGGUUGAAACUUAAAGGAAUUGGCGG